rnacentral:rRNA from 1 species
AUUGAACGCUGGCGGCAGGCCUAACACAUGCAAGUCGAGCGGAUGAAGGGAGCUUGCUCCUGGAUUCAGCGGCGGACGGGUGAGUAAUGCCUAGGAAUCUGCCUGGUAGUGGGGGAUAACGUCCGGAAACGGGCGCUAAUACCGCAUACGUCCUGAGGGAGAAAGUGGGGGAUCUUCGGACCUCACGCUAUCAGAUGAGCCUAGGUCGGAUUAGCUAGUUGGUGGGGUAAAGGCCUACCAAGGCGACGAUCCGUAACUGGUCUGAGAGGAUGAUCAGUCACACUGGAACUGAGACACGGUCCAGACUCCUACGGGAGGCAGCAGUGGGGAAUAUUGGACAAUGGGCGAAAGCCUGAUCCAGCCAUGCCGCGUGUGUGAAGAAGGUCUUCGGAUUGUAAAGCACUUUAAGUUGGGAGGAAGGGCAGUAAGUUAUUACCUUGCUGUUUUGACGGUACCAACAGAAUAAGCACCGGCUAACUUCGUG